rnacentral:rRNA from 1 species
UACGUAGGGCGCGAGCGUUGUCCGGAAUUAUUGGGCGUAAAGAGCUCGUAGGCGGCCUGUCGCGUCUGCUGUGAAAUCCCGGGGCUUAACCCCGGGCGUGCAGUGGAUACGGGCUGGCUGGAGGCAGGCAGGGGAGAAUGGAAUUCCCGGUGUAGCGGUGAAAUGCGCAGAUAUCGGGAGGAACACCGGUGGCGAAGGCGGUUCUCUGGGCCUGUUCUGACGCUGAGGAGCGAAAGCGUGGGGAGCAAACAGG